GCGCUCAUUCAGCAGUGCACACACUGAAAUCGGAAUGAUGCUGAGAAGGUUAACGUGGCCCCUGCACGAGGAUGAGGCACACAUUCCAGAAAUAGUCCAUGUUAAA
ensembl:snRNA U6 U6 spliceosomal RNA